CGAUUACGGCUCAGUAACACGUAGCUAACCUACCCUUAGGACGUGGAUACCCCCGAGAAAUUGGGGUUAAUCCGCGAUAGAUGUAAUGUCCUGGAAUGGUAUUACGUCUAAAGGUAUUUCAUACAUGUUUGAAAUAUGCCUAAGGAUGGGGCUGCGGCCGAUCAGGCUGUUGGUGAGGUAAUGGCUCACCAAACCUUUGACCGGUACGGGCCAUGAGAGCGGUAGCCCGGAGAUGGACACUGAGACAAGGGUCCAGGCCCUAAGGGGCGCAGCAACCGCGAAACCUCCACAAUGCACUCACGUGCGAUGGGGCUAUCUCGAGUGCCACCUGAUGAAGGUGGCUUUUCCUUGGUCUUCAAAGCCUUGGGAAUAAGAGGGGGGCAAGACUGGUGUCAGCCGCCGCGGUAACACCAGCCCCUCGAGUGGUGGGGAUGAUUAUUUGGCCUAAAGCGUCCGUAGCCGGCCGAGCAAGUCUUCCGUUAAAUCCAGCGUCUCAAGCGUUGGACCGCGGGAGAUACUACACGGCUAGAGAGUGGGAGAGGUUAGCGGUAUUCUGGGGGUAGGGGCGAAAUCCUUUGAUCCCCGGAGGACCACCAGUGGCGAAGGCUG
rnacentral:rRNA from 1 species